AGCUCCAAUAGCGUAUAUUAAAGUUGUUGCAGUUAAAAAGCUCGUAGUUGGAUUCCUGGUUAGAGCGGCCGGUCGGGUCCGAAUGGGCUCGCACUUUGAGCUGUCUUUGACCUUCCUUUGGGAGAAGUUGUUUGCGCAUUGAUUUGCGUGGGCAAGGGACCCCAAUCGUUUACUGUGAAAAAAUUAGAGUGUUUAAAGCAGGCAUUUGCUGUGAAUACAUUAGCAUGGAAUAAUAAGAUAGGACUUUGGUGCUAUUUUGUUGGUUUGCACACCAAGGUAAUGAUUAACAGGGACAGUUGGGGGUAUUCGUAUUUAAUUGUCAGAGGUGAAAUUCAUGGAUUUAUGAAAGACGAACUACUGCGAAAGCAUUUACCAAGGAUGUUUUCAUUGAUCAAGAACG
rnacentral:rRNA from 1 species